UCCUUUCCGAUGCCAGACAAGUUUCUCCUCCUUGAAAAAGUUUCUCCCUCCCAAAGCUCUGCAUUCCUCGGCUCCUCUUUGCGGGGCACAGAAUGGCACCGCUAGAAACGACCUAAUCUGAUGACCUCAUUUCAAGACAAGAACACCAAGGCCUCUUGGGGACACCUUGCCCAAGGUCACAGAGCAGGGCGAAGGUCAACUCAGACCAGACUCCUCCACUCCGGAAUCCCACGGAGCACUCAGACCUCCUCCUAGGAGUCCAAAUCCCGGAAGAAAUGUUUAUUGGGGUUUAGUGUGUUAGGCAACUGCAUUCGUCACUGGAGAGAAAGAGAACUCGACCCCCCGAAAACGACAGAGACGGGGCCGUGGAGGAGUAAACAGAGAGUUAUAACAACAAGGAAUGAGUCCAAGGAACAAUUGGCAAUCAUUUUCGUCUUCAUCAAACACCAAAUUUACAGAUUCCUGGCCCUAAUUUUAUUUUACUUUGUUCCUUUCGGUUUACUCUUUGUGAUCUACAUAGGCUAAAGGAACAUCUAUAAUUAGAAACUCUCUGUAUAAUUACUUAUGUAUAUGCAAUAAAUAAGAGGAAC